GACGAACGCUGGCGGCGUGCUUAACACAUGCAAGUCGAACGGCAAGGCCCUGCUUUUGUGGGGUGCUCGAGUGGCGAACGGGUGCGUAACACGUGAGUAACCUGCCCUUGACUUUGGUAUAACUUCAGGUAACUGGGCCUACUACCGGAUAGGAUCUCCUGUUGCAUGGUGGGGGUUGGAACGUUUCGGCGGUUGGGGAUGGACUCGCGGCUUAUCAGCUUGUUGGUGGGGUAGUGGCUUACCAAGGCUUUGACGGGUAGCCGGCCUGAGAGGGUGACCGGCCACAUUGGGACUGAGAUACGGCCCAGACUCCUACGGGAGGCAGCAGUGGGGAAUAUUGCACAAUGGGCGGAAGCCUGAUGCAGCAACGCCGCGUGCGGGAUGACGGCCUUCGGGUUGUAAACCGCUUUCGCCUGUGACGAAGCGUGAGUGACGGUAAUGGGUAAAGAAGCACCGGCUAACUACGUG
rnacentral:rRNA from 1 species